rnacentral:misc_RNA from 1 species
GAUGAAGAAGUAGCGAAAUGCGAUACUUGGUGUGAAUUGCAGAAUCCCGUGAACCAUCGAGUCUUUGAACGCAAGUUGCGCCCGAAGCCACUAGGCCGAGGGCACGCCUGCCUGGGCGUCACACGGCGUUGCCCCCCCAUCUACUCCUUCGGGAUUGCGGGGGGGCGGAUGAUGGCCUCCCGUGCGCCUAGCCGCGCGGUUGGCAUAAAUACCAAGUCCUCGGCGACGCACGCCACGACAAUCGGUGGUUGCGAAACCUCGGUUGCCCGUCGUGUGCGUUCGUCGCGAAUCGAGGGCUCGAAAAAAUGCUCGGCUCCGGCUGGGCUUUCAACGCGACCCCAGGUCAGGCGGGGUUACCCGCUGAAUUUAAGCAUAUCAAUAAGCGGAGGA